rfam:Triticum aestivum genome assembly, contig: Triticum_aestivum_CS42_TGACv1_scaffold_000840_1AL
AUGGUACUCACUCCGUCCGAAAAUACUUGUCGAAGAAAUAGGUAAAAAUGAAUGUAUCUAGAAACUAAAAUACGUUUAGAUACAUUCAUUUCUCCGACAAGUAUUUCCGGACGGAGGGAGUAUGAU